UAAACACGGAACUAGAAACUAGUCUCGGAAAAAGACUUGCUAAGAAUACGCCUGGAAGAGCAUCGUCUCAGUCGGCUACUACAUCACGACUAUCAGGAUGCCAGCUCUCACCUGACCCUGUCGUCUCACCUCCCUACCUUGAGGUACCAGCCAUCCCUUGCCGCUCCAUCUUCAUGACCAGCGUGGAGACCAGGUGGCGGACUUUCGAGAACUAUGAGGACUUUCAGAAUGGUCUUAUAACAAGCGAGGAGGUUAAAAGGCUUGCAUCCGAUGGGUACUUCUACGUUCGGGGAAGAAUUGAAUGCUUCUGCUGUGGGUUGAGGCAAGAUUUGCCCCAUGAUGCCAACUGCCUAAGAAAAUUAAUGAUCCUUAAUCAUGCCAGACCAGAGGAACCCAUGGAUACCUGAAAGUCUCACAGGGCGAGAUAACCAAGCAUGUCCACCACAGUCAUCCUAGAAUGUCUCUUUCAUCGUUUGUCGGAUGUGUGUCUGAAAAAAAAAAUCCGACAAAAUGCCACUGAUACCUUUUCACACGACCAGUCAUGGAUUAUUUAUCUUCAAAGUUCCUGCUUGUGCUUAAAAACGGAAAAACUGAAGUUGACACACAUCUGUGUUAGCAAACACACAGCAUUCUUUGUGCACAUGCCAUCCACAGAAAAAUAUUUUGUGGAAACACUUUUGAGUUAACAUUACAAAUGAUAUUGAAAUAUAUAAUAUAUGAAUAAAUGAUUCUUAAAUAUGA